UACAGAGGGUGCAAGCGUUUAAUCGGAAUUACUGGGCGUAAGCGUGCGUAGACGGUUAUGUAAGUCAGAUGUGAAAGCCCCGGGCUUAACCUGGGAAUUGCAUUGAGGACUGGCGUGCUCGAGUGCGGCAGAGGGGGGUGGAAGUUCGCGUGUAGCAGUGAAAUGCGUAGAGAUGCGGAGGAACACCGAUGGCGGAAGGCAGCCCCCUGGGCUAGCACUGACGCUCAGGCACGAAAGCGUGGGGAGAAACAGG
rnacentral:rRNA from 1 species